rnacentral:rRNA from 1 species
GACGAACGCUGGCGGCGUGCUUAACACAUGCAAGUCGAACGGAAAGGCCCUGCUUUUGUGGGGUGCUCGAGUGGCGAACGGGUGAGUAACACGUGAGUAACCUGCCCUUGACUUUGGGAUAACUUCAGGAAACUGGGGCUAAUACCGGAUAGGAGCUCCUGCUGCAUGGUGGGGGUUGGAAAGUUUCGGCGGUUGGGGAUGGACUCGCGGCUUAUCAGCUUGUUGGUGGGGUAGUGGCUUACCAAGGCUUUGACGGGUAGCCGGCCUGAGAGGGUGACCGGCCACAUUGGGACUGAGAUACGGCCCAGACUCCUACGGGAGGCAGCAGUGGGGAAUAUUGCACAAUGGGCGGAAGCCUGAAGCAGCAACGCCGCGUGCGGGAUGACGGCCUUCGGGUUGUAAACCGCUUUCGCCUGUGACGAAGCGUGAGUGACGGUAAUGGGUAAAGAAGCAACGGCUAACUACGUG